rnacentral:RNase_MRP_RNA from 1 species
AGCACGGCUUCGCAGCUUACAGCCGGGGAGCUUGCUCCCGACAUUUUGCGAGGAAAGUCCCCGUGCCUUGGGGCAGAGAGUGUCGGCGGGAGGCCGCAUGUCCGUCGGGCGGCCGCAGGCGGCGAAGCAUUGCGCCGAGCCUCUUGGCGGUGUGCACGGCGGGCCUUCGCAGCAGCACAGAGAUGCCGUGCGCGCUUUGGUGACGAGGUGCGAACAGAACAGGGCUCACUCUC